UGGGGAAUUUUGGACAAUGGGGGCGAACCCUGAUCCAGCAAUGCCGCGUGUGUGAAGAAGGCCUUCGGGUUGUAAAGCACUUUUGUCCGGGAAGAAAUCCCCUGCCCUAAUACGGCGGGGGAUGGACGGUACCGGAAGAAUAAGCACCGGCUAACUACGUGCCAGCAGCCGCGGUAAUACGUAGGGUGCGAGCGUUAAUCGGAAUUACUGGGCGUAAAGCGUGCGCAGGCGGUGAUGUAAGACCGAUGUGAAAUCCCCGGGCUCAACCUGGGAACUGCAUUGGUGACUGCAUUGCUCGAGUAUGGCAGAGGGGGGUGGAAUUCCACGUGUAGCAGUGAAAUGCGUAGAGAUGUGGAGGAAUACCGAUGGCGAAGGCAGCCCCCUGGGCCAAGUACUGACGCUCAUGCACGAAAGCGUGGGGAGCAAACAGGAUUAGAUACCCCUGGUAGUCCACGCCCUAAACGAUGUCAACUAGUUGUUGGGGGAUUCAUUUUCCUUAGUAACGUAGCUAACGCGUGAAGUUGACCGCCUGGGGAGUACGGUCGCAAGAUUAAAACUUAAAGGAAUUGACGGGGUCAUAGCUG
rnacentral:rRNA from 1 species